rnacentral:rRNA from 1 species
UUCUGGAUGUAAAUUGACCAGAGUACUAUGAAUAUGAAAAAUUUAAAACUCAAAGAACUUGGCGGUGUUUUAGACCACUUAGGGGAACCUGUCUCAUAAUCGAUAAUCCACGUUAUACCUGACCUUUUUUUGUUAUCAGUUUGUAUACCGUUGUCGUCAGGUAACUUUUUAGAAUUUAGAAGUUAGCAAUUAAGAAAAUAAUCCGUUACGUCAAAUCAAGGUGCAGCUAAUAGAAAGGGGAGGAUGGGUUACAAUUAUAAAUUAUAAUAACGGAAGGUGGACUUAAAAGUAAAUUAAACAUAAGCAAUUUGAAUAAGGCUCUGAAACGCGU